AAACAAAACAAGAAAUGAAACAAAAUGUUCCAAAGAAAAAGGAAGAGGAGGAGUAGUAUAUAUGAUCAUGUUGCAAACUGCUAGCUUAGUAUGGUUGUUCAUUGCCUUUUCCCCAUAUACCUUGCUCUUUCCUUCUUUC
rnacentral:ribozyme from 1 species